UACGGAGGGUGCAAGCGUUGUCCGGAAUCACUGGGCGUAAAGGGUGCGUAGGCGGCUCAUGAAGGCUGUGGUGAAAGUCCGGGGCUCAACCUCGGAUCGGCCGUGGCGACUCGUGGGCUGGAGCACUGUAGAGGCGGGUGGAAUUCCGGGUGUAGCGGUGGAAUGCGUAGAGAUCCGGAAGAACACCAGUGGCGAAGGCGGCCCGCUGGGCAGUGGCUGACGCUGAGGCGCGACAGCGUGGGGAGCAAACAGG
rnacentral:rRNA from 1 species